GAUCAUGGCUCAGGAUGAACGCUAGCUACAGGCUUAACACAUGCAAGUCGAGGGGAAACGACAUCGAAAGCUUGCUUUUGAUGGGCGUCGACCGGCGCACGGGUGAGUAACGCGUAUCCAACCUGCCCACCACUUGGGGAUAACCUUGCGAAAGUAAGACUAAUACCCAAUGACGUCUCUAGAAGACAUCUGAAAUGAAUUAAAGAUUUAUCGGUGAUGGAUGGGGAUGCGUCUGAUUAGCUUGUUGGCGGGGUAACGGCCCACCAAGGCUACGAUCAGUAGGGGUUCUGAGAGGAAGGUCCCCCACAUUGGAACUGAGACACGGUCCAAACUCCUACGGGAGGCAGCAGUGAGGAAUAUUGGUCAAUGGGCGAGAGCCUGAACCAGCCAAGUAGCGUGCAGGAUGACGGCCCUAUGGGUUGUAAACUGCUUUUAUAAGGGAAUAAAGUGGGGCUCGUGAGCUCCUUUGCAUGUACCUUAUGAAUAAGGACCGGCUAAUUCCGUG
rnacentral:rRNA from 1 species